CAAACAGAUCAAAAUGAUUGUAUCAAAUGUAUUACAUGUCUUUAAAGAUCUUGAGUUCUUUUUUCCCUAAUCACAAUCUUAAUGUAAUUAUUAAAAUGUUAUAAAAAUCUGCUGCUUUGGAGGCUUCAGGUUGUGUCUCCACCUGUUUGGAUCAAUAUGAUUAGAAUUUUUAUUUCAGCCCAUAUUAGCAAUUUACAUGUCAAGGGAUUGAGUCACGUAUGGUAUAAGGAGGGG